CGUGUAGGCGGUUUAGCAAGCCUGGUGUGAAAGACUUCAGCUCAACUGAAGGAACGCGCUGGGAACUGUUAGACUAGAGUGAUGGAGGGGGAGUUGGAAUUCCAGGUGUAGGGGUGAAAUCUGUAGAUAUCUGGAAGAACACCGGUGGCGAAGGCGAACUCCUGGCCAUAUACUGACGCUAAUGCGCGAAAGCGUGGGGAGCGAACAGGAUUAGAUACCCUGGUAGUCC
rnacentral:rRNA from 1 species